CUCCCCCCGCUACUGAGCAUGCCCGGCGCCGAGACCGGAGCUUAACUGAGACUCUCAGGCGCGGUUAAGCACUGAUUUCACUUCCUACUGUUCUCGCGUACGAUAGGAAGGCGUUCGACCGACAGAAGGGUAGCCCAUUUUAGAGCUUUUCCUGAAUCGUGCAGGUGUGGUUUCUCCUUGGGAGGUAAACUCACCAAGGAAGGCAGAGAAGGGGAAUACCUGCUCCUUGCCAUGGUGGAUAUGAAGCCCCAAGUAAAGCUAAUUCUGGGUAAUAAAAAUAGUGCUGGAAUAUGGAGUUUGAAAGAAGCACCUCAGACAAAGGAAAUAAUAGUAAAGGUAUGGAGUGAAGAAACUG